rnacentral:rRNA from 1 species
AGAAUCAACGCUGGCGGCGUGCCUAACACAUGCAAGUCGAACGAGAAAGUGGGAGCAAUCCCACGAGUAAAGUGGCGCACGGGUGAGUAACACGUGACUAACCUACCCUUGAGUGGGGGAUAACCUAGGGAAACCUGGGCUAAUACCGCAUAAUACCUACGGGUCAAAGGAGCAAUUCGCUUUAGGAGGGGGUCGCGGCAGAUUAGUUAGUUGGCGGGGUAAUGGCCCACCAAGACAGUGAUCUGUAUCCGGCCUGAGAGGGCGCACGGACACACUGGAACUGAAACACGGUCCAGACUCCUACGGGAGGCAGCAGUGGGGAAUCUUGCGCAAUGGACGAAAGUCUGACGCAGCAACGCCGCGUGAGGGACGAAGGUUUUCUGAAUUGUAAACCUCUUUCGACAGGAACGAUUGUGACGGUACCUGUAGAAGAAGCACCGGCCAACUAUGUGCCAGCAGCCGC